rnacentral:rRNA from 1 species
UUGGGAAUGAUAAAAAAUGUAACAAGGUCUCCGUAGGUGAACCUGCGGAGGGAUCAUUACACAAUAUGCAAGCGGGCUGGGAUCCCCGGGAGGGCGUCUAUUCUGCCGUUUCCGCCGCAUCUGCGGUGCUGAAGCGACAGGGCGGGCGUCUUUUCGGCCAGCCUGACUCCAUAUUCACAUGUCUUUUGCGUACUACUUGUUUCCUUGGUGGGUUCGCCCACCAACAGGACCAUUUAAACCUUUUUGUAAUUGCAAUCAGCGUCAGCAAAACAAUGUAAUAAAUUACAACUUUCAACAACGGAUCUCUUGGUUCUGGCAUCGAUGAAGAACGCAGCGAAAUGCGAUAAGUAGUGUGAAUUGCAGAAUUCAGUGAAUCAUCGAAUCUUUGAACGCACAUUGCGCCCUUUGGUAUUCCAAAGGGCAUGCCUGUUCGAGCGUCAUUUGUACCCUCAAGCUUUGCUUGGUGUUGGGCGUUUUUGUCUCUGGUCCGCCAGCGACUCGCCUUAAAAUCAUUGGCAGCCGGCCUACUGGUUUCGGAGCGCAGCACAAAUUUGCGCUUCUUCCAGCAGCGGUCCGCGUCCAUGAAGCCACUUUUUCAACGUUGACCUCGGAUCAGGUAGGAACUUUCCCCUAAG